ACGUCAAAUCAGCACGGCCCUUACGUCCGGGGCUACACACGUGCUACAAUGGGGGGUACAGAGAGUCGGCUGCCCGCAAGGUCAGUCCAAUCAUGAAAGCCUCCCUCAGUUCGGACUGGGGUCUGCAACCCGACCCCACGAAGCUGGAUUCGCUAGUAAUCGCGCAUCAGCCAUGGCGCGGUGAAUACGUUCCCGGGCCUUGUACACACCGCCCGUCAAGCCAUGAAAGCCGGGGGUGCCUGAAGUCCGUGACCGCGAGGGUCGGCCUAGGGCAAAACUGGUAAUUGGGGCUAAGUCGUAACAAGGUAGCCGUA
rnacentral:rRNA from 1 species